rnacentral:rRNA from 1 species
CCUACGGGAGGCAGCAGUAAGGAAUCUCGCGCAAUGGGCGAAAGCCUGACGCAGCGACGCCACGUGGGUGAUGGAGGCCUUCGGGUCGUAAAGCCCUGUGGAGGAGGGAAGAACAGCCCGCAAGGGUCUGACGGUACCUCCUAAGCAAGCACCGGCCAACUACGUGCCAGCAGCCGCGGUAAAACGUAGGGUGCAAACGUUGUUCGGAAUUACUGGGUGUAAAGCGCGUGUAGGCGGCUAAGUGUGUCGAUUGUGAAAGCCCCCGGCACAACCGGGGAAAGUCGAGCGAAACUGCUUGGCUAGAGGACAGGAGAGGGGGAUGGAAUUCCAGGUGUAGAGGUGAAAUUCGUAGAUAUCGGGAGGAACACCGAGAGCGAGGGCAGUCCCCUGGACUUU